CACGUAGGCACCAAGCGUUGUCCGGAUUUAUUGGGCGUAAAGAGCUCGUAGGCGGUUCGGUAAGUCGGGUGUGAAAACUCGUGGGCUCAACCCAGAGCCGCCACCCGAUAACUGGCUGUGACUUGAGUUCGGUGAGGGGAGCGGGGAAUUCCUGGUGUAGCGGUGAAAUGACGCAGAUAUCUGGAGGAACACCGGUGGCGAAGGCGGCAUCCUGGACCGACACGUGACGCUGAGGAGCGAAAGCCAGGGGAGCAAACGGG
rnacentral:rRNA from 1 species